GCUGGUAUAGCUCAGUUGGUAGAGCAGCGCAUUCGUAAUGCGCAGGUCACGUGUUCGAGUCACGCUACCAGCUCCA
rnacentral:tRNA from 1 species